rnacentral:rRNA from 1 species
UACGAAGGGGGCUAGCGUUGCUCGGAAUUACUGGGCGUAAAGCGCACGUAGGCGGCUUUGUAAGUCAGAGGUGAAAGCCUGGAGCUCAACUCCAGAACUGCCUUUGAGACUGCAUCGCUUGAAUCCAGGAGAGGUGAGUGGAAUUCCGAAGUGUAGAGGUGAAAUUCGUAGAUAUUCGGAAGAACACCAGUGGCGAAGGCGGCUCACUGGACUGGUAUUGACGCUGAGGUGGCGAAAGCGUGGGAGCAACAGG